GAGUUUGAUCCUGGCUCAGGAUGAACGCUAGCGACAGGCUUAACACAUGCAAGUCGAGGGGCAGCACGAUGUAGCAAUACAUUGGUGGCGACCGGCGCACGGGUGAGUAACGCGUAUGCAACCUACCUAUCAGAGGGGAAUAACCCGGCGAAAGUCGGACUAAUACCGCAUAAAACAGGGGUUCCACAUGGAAAUAUUUGUUAAAGAAUUAUCGCUGAUAGAUGGGCAUGCGUUCCAUUAGAUAGUUGGUGAGGUAACGGCUCACCAAGUCCACGAUGGAUAGGGGUUCUGAGAGGAAGGUCCCCCACACUGGUACUGAGACACGGACCAGACUCCUACGGGAGGCAGCAGUGAGGAAUAUUGGUCAAUGGGCGAGAGCCUGAACCAGCCAAGCCGCGUGAAGGAUGAAGGAUCUAUGGUUUGUAAACUUCUUUUAUAUGGGAAUAAAGUGAGGAACGUGUUCCUUUUUGUAUGUACCAUAUGAAUAAGCAUCGGCUAACUCCGUGCCAGCAGCCGCGGUAAUACGGAGGAUGCGAGCGUUAUCCGGAUUUAUUGGGUUUAAAGGGUGCGUAGGUGGUUAAUUAAGUCAGCGGUGAAAGUUUGUGGCUCAACCAUAAAAUUGCCGUUGAAACUGGUUGACUUGAGUAUAUUUGAGGUAGGCGGAAUGCGUGGUGUAGCGGUGAAAUGC
rnacentral:rRNA from 1 species